CGUAGUGAAGUUUAUUUGUCGUCUUGUGGACAUAGGCCCGUUGCGCUUUGUGGCUUGUAGUGCCUGAACUGUGACUAAAUUCUUCACUCGCUAUUUCGACUAGCACCUAGCACUUUUUCGGCUAGCACCUAUUGAGCCGUGCCAAGACCAUGACUCCAACAACUCUUUGUCAUCAAGCCUAUUCUUGAUGAACAUUUCGUCAACGACGCUUUGCAGUGCGCAUUGAAAUUAUUGUUAAAUGUCUGGAUCUAUGGCAAGCACUCAGCUUCUGGCAAAGUGUGUAUAAUCUGCUAUGUUUGGAGAGUGCGGUACCCGUCUGUCGGCACUGCACUUCCUCGUUGUAGUGUUAAAGAAUGUUUACUCUCUCCAUUGUUUGCGGCGGAUACUACGACAAGGUAGUUUAUCAUCGUUCGAGACACCUGGACUCUACACUGGCUGACUAUUGACGCGAGGACGACAGGAAUACACGCAACGGACUGCAUCCGUCAGAAUUGCUACGGAAUGGAGUUGCAUUGCUCCCGAAGAAAAAGCAAUGUGCUGAUGGAUUGCCGGGAGCAUUUCACUAGACGGAUGGAUGGCCAGGAGCAUUCAAAUCGACUUCUCAAGCGUCGUCAACUGGACGGCAUUCCAUUCCGCUGCUCUGAGCAUUGCCUGGGUGUGUCUGCUAGGUCGCUACAGCACUCAACACCUUGCCUGUGGCAUGGGAACUUUUUAUCCCGGAACUCUACCGUUAUCAAGCUCUAUAUUGCAGGUUGUCCAGCACGUUAUCCGCUGCAACCGAACUGAUAGCUGACCGUUUGUUUGCCGACCAGUGGAAUCGCUACAGACGCACAAGACCGGUACCGUGGCGGCUGUAUGCAUAGCUCUAGUCUGCUUAGCAUUGCCCAUUCCGCCAGCUACCUGAUCAUCCUGCUGCCUGACCACCACCACCAGUUGCAUAUGGCGAUUGUCAUGGAACAGCACAACGAGCAUUGCUCGCAACCCAAAGGCGAAUGGAGACAUUGCUGCCGUUCUCAGUCGAUCUAUACGUGUGUGCGUUCCGAGGGAGUGUUGCCCAGCAAGAAAACUGUAGUUUAUCAUCUUCCGCGAGUCCUAGACUCCACGCUGGAUUACAUAGUGACGCGAGGACGACUGGAAUACAAGAAGCUGAGUGCAUCCAUCAAAACUGCUACGGGAUGAAGUUGUGCAUCGCAUUGCUUCCAAAGCAAAAGUUGAGUUUGCCAUGGACAACCUGCGGAGACUGGGAAACAUGAUCUGUUGCGGUGUCGUGAUAAGUAUCCAUUUGGGCUCCUUCAAAAUUCUCAACUAUGGGCCAUUGUGUACUUGACAGUCCGCUCGGUAAAUAUUCACUGUUGGAGCUUGGAAAUCUCAAUUUGGGCCAAACUUAGACUGUAAAUCCCAAGGCUUACCCUUUCAAAAUACUAGGUUCUGAACGCGCAACUCUGCUCUUCGGAUCAUAUCAGCAAGAAAAACCAUACUUCCUAGUCUUGACUUCAUCGUCCUCCCGAUGCAAAAUGAGCUGCCUGAGUCAUACAAUGCAGUUGCUUCGAUUGUUUCUAUCAAUGAAAGAAGUCACAGGGAGGAUUGCAGCUACAAAGCUGAGCAAUUAUUGUGAUUGGGGAUCACAAUCACUAUGGUGAUGGUGCCUUUUUAGGAAUUCUUUUUAGAUUACUUGCUGUAAACUUCCCAUGAUAUCACGAAUAUGGUUUGUCUCUCUUUUGUACAUUUUUGUUCCAGGCUCAUCAUCGGCCACCCAGCUGUUAUGCUUCACUUUAUGAUUUAUUUUAUUCAUGGAAAAAAUUGGGAGGGGGCACUUCAUUGCAGCAAGAUUUCCUUGUUGCUAUGUAGCUGCCACAAAAUGACAGGUGUUCCGUUCCAUUCCC